UCAACUUCUACCUUCAUCUUCCUUACCCUAACCCUACCCCAGCCCCCCUGCCACCUCAGACCAGCCCGCCACACCAUCGCGCAACGCACCCCCGGUCCGUCGAAAUUGCAGCCCACCAUACUCUCACUGCAAUCGCGCAGCCCAUUCCCGGUCUGUCACCAUUGCGCAACUUUGUAGAGGUGUCCCUCCCAACUCUCCUGCAAUUGGCUCUGGCAAGGGCUUUGUGGCACUAAGUGGAUGGGGAUGGAUGUGUAAUGCUGAGUUGUCAAAGAGGGUGGGGGAUGGAUGGAUUCAUCUAAGAGGUGCAUCAAUGGUGGUAGGAGGAGGAGGCUGUGGUGAUGGACCGAAUGACCGAUGGUGGACAGGGGUGCUUGGUAAGUUAGGGUUAUUGUUUAUGUCCUUUUUAGUAAAUUCAGUAAAGGAUUAAUUUGCAAUUGAAAAAAAAUGGGUUUUGGGGGUACGCUGAGAUCGAGAUGGUUUGCAUUUAGAAGCUCCCUAACAAUUCCAUAUACUAAUUCCAGUACCAUAUAGCAAUUAGGUUCGGACACUAAUGGUGGCUGCUUUUUUCCUCGCCCAACAGAGAGAGAGAGAGUAGCGGAACUGAAAGAUAAGUUGGAAUUACCUUCUAGGCUUCUACAGCAGGCAAAUUUGCUAUAAAUGCUAGCAAUGCAGGUGGUGUUGCUUUCAAAAAUUCAUUAGGAGCAUUGGGUGUUCCACCCCCAAUUAAUGCAACACAUGAAGCAGUCAACUUGCUUGAAACAGCUUGAAGUCCUGGUGCAGAUGGGACUGAAAAGAACCCAAUAACUCUAGUCAGAUGACUCGGGGCUCGGUGCUUGUCACUUUUCAGUGUAUAUUUUAUCUAUUUUAAUUUAGUUCCCAAGCAUAAGAACCUACCAGUGCAGCAUAAUACUCGAAAGUUCGAGAUCGUAUCCACAUAGAGCUAGUUUGUAAGAUUUGAGUUUCGUUGUAAGUAAAGAAAAGUGUAAAAAUGUAUUUUUGUGAUUUUUGGAAGAGUAUGAAAAUAUUAAUUGAUUGUUUUUUAAAAUGUAAAGAAAUAGCAUGAUUUAAAUAUUUGAUUUUUAUUCUUUCUUUAGAUUCCCUAGUGUAUUUCUUCUCUCUUGUACUUAAUCAAUAUUCAAGGUAAAAUGAAUUUGAUUGAAAGUUUUGCAAUGAAAUUACGUUGUAUCUAAAAAUAUGUUUGAAAAUUGACAAUAAUUUUUAAUUAUAAUUUCAAAUCCGUAGAACACAAUAACAAGGAAUCUUGUUAUAAGAUAAUCUUAAAUUUAUACAAUUCAAGUUUUGAUCUUUGUAUUUGUAUUGAUCAAUUUGAAACAACUUUUUAAGUUUGUACAAGAGAAGAAAGAAC
rnacentral:lncRNA from 1 species